AUUGAACGCUGGCGGCAGGCUUAACACAUGCAAGUCGAGCGGAUGAAAGUAGCUUGCUACUGGAUUCAGCGGCGGACGGGUGAGUAAUGCUUAGGAAUCUGCCUAUUAGUGGGGGACAACGUUCCGAAAGGAGCGCUAAUACCGCAUACGUCCUACGGGAGAAAGCAGGGGACCUUCGGGCCUUGCGCUAAUAGAUGAGCCUAAGUCGGAUUAGCUAGUUGGUAGGGUAAAGGCCUACCAAGGCGACGAUCUGUAGCGGGUCUGAGAGGAUGAUCCGCCACACUGGGACUGAGACACGGCCCAGACUCCUACGGGAGGCAGCAGUGGGGAAUAUUGGACAAUGGGGGGAACCCUGAUCCAGCCAUGCCGCGUGUGUGAAGAAGGCCUUUUGGUUGUAAAGCACUUUAAGCGAGGAGGAGGCUACCUAGAUUAAUACUUUAGGAUAGUGGACGUUACUCGCAGAAUAAGCACCGGCUAACUCUGUGCCAGCAGCCGCGGUAAUACAGAGGGUGCGAGCGUUAAUCGGAUUUACUGGGCGUAAAGCGUGCGUAGGCGGCCAAUUAAGUCAAAUGUGAAAUCCCCGAGCUUAACUUGGGAAUUGCAUUCGAUACUGGUUGGCUAGAGUAUGGGAGAGGAUGGUAGAAUUCCAGGUGUAGCGGUGAAAUGCGUAGAGAUCUGGAGGAAUACCG
rnacentral:rRNA from 1 species